rnacentral:sRNA from 1 species
UAUUUUUCAACACAAAAACACACAUCUAUCAUCAAACUAGAAAUUGGGGUGCUACUUUGUGGUCGGUUUUCUAGGAUAGAUGGAGGCUAAAC